rnacentral:rRNA from 1 species
UCUGCUAUCGCUUUUAGAUGGACCCGCGGCGUAUUAACUAGUUGGUGGGGUAACGGCCUACCAAGGUGAUGAUACGUAGCCGAGUUGAGAGACUGAUCGGCCACAAUGGGACUGAGACACGGCCCAUACUCCUACGGGAGGCAGCAGUAGGGAAUCUUCCACAAUGGGCGCAAGCCUGAUGGAGCAACGCCGCGUGAAUGAAGAAGGUCUUCGGAUCGUAAAAUUCUGUUGUUAGAGAAGAAUAUGAGUAAUAGUAACUGAUUAUUCACUGACGGUAUCUAACCAGCAAGUCACGGCUAACUACGUGCCAGCGGCCGCGGUAAUACGUAGGUGGCAAGCGUUGUCCGGAUUUAUUGGGCGUAAAGGGAACGCAGGCGGUUUUUUAAGUCUGAUGUGAAAGCCUUCGGCUUAACCGGAGAUGUGCAUUGGAAACUGGAAGACUUGAGUGCAGAAGAGGAGAGUGGAACUCCAUGUGUAGCGGUGAAAUGCGUAGAUAUAUGGAAGAACACCAGUGGCGAAAGCGGCUCUCUGGUCUGUAACUGACGCUGAGGUUCGAAAGCAUGGGUAGCGAACAGGAUUAGAUACCCUGGUAGUCCAUGCCGUAAACGAUGAAUGCUAGGUGUUGGAGGGUUUCCGCCCUUCAGUGCCGCAGCUAACGCAAUAA